rnacentral:lncRNA from 1 species
AAUGGCUUCUCAGAGAGCUUGCUGCUAUUGCAUGAGGACCUAGCUCAGAUCCCUAGAAGCCAUAUAAAAGCCAGCAUGUGUCUGUAUCUCCAAUCCCAAGAGGAGAGAUCAAGAGAGAUUUCUGGCCAGAGGAAGACACCGCUGGCAUCUAUAUGUGCACUCACAGGUGAGUGGUACACCCCAUAAACAAGUGCACAGCACACACAAGAAUAACUGAAAGAAUAGAUACUCUGCACACGGCCCUUCCUUUUCUGGCUGUAAGGACAUCGUUGUGGGGGGUGUAUAAGCCUUCACUGCAGAGAACAGGCUGGAGGGAGGAAAGGCGCCUACACCUCAGGCCUCCUCUGACCCACACUGGGUCUGUGGGUCUGUGAGACAGGUGCCCUGGUAUCCAUACCCCCAGCUGCAGGAAGAAUUCUGGGCUAGGCUGUGACAAGUGGUGACAUUACAGGCCUGAGGUCAUAUUAAUCUGUGCAGUUGAACUUGUUGCUCAUUUGAUACCCAUGCCUGGCAACUCAGCCUCCUCCACUGUGCUGUGGUCUUCACUUAGUGGAACAGGCAUGAAUGAGUCCAGUCUUUGAAGAACUGGGAAGAUGGCUUUAGGAUGUGUCCAUUAAGUAUCUGAAACACAGAAACACCCGAGAGCUGCCCCUUCCCUUCCCAGAGAUCCAUGAAGAGCUGAACCUAGAAUACUGAUGCCACUGUUUGUCCCCUAAGAUCGAUUAGCAUCUGGAUGGACAGGAACCAAGACAACCACCUUAGUUCAGGUUUCAGUUGCUGUAACAAAACAGCAGAGGCCAAGGACUUUACACACAAGGGUGACUAAAAGUCCAAGACUAAACAACCCCAUGUGUUUGGACUCUGGUAAGGAUCUCCCAUCUACUUCUCAACAUGGCGAAUGACAUCAUGAUGGAUGUGCAGAUGAGGAAAGAGAGGUCACAUGAUGAAACUGGAAACAAGAGAGUAUGUGGAAGGUCACAUCCAGUCUUUUACAGCAACCUCGUAUCUCAAAAGGUAACUUUCUUCUUCGAGGUCCAAACCAAUUCUGGAAACCAGCUUUAACACCCUCUAAUGGUGGUGAGACCCACAACAGAUUAUCUGACCUACACAACUAUAAAUGAGUUUAAGUUGUUUUAAACCUCAGAAAAGAAAGGUGAGGAGAGAGGUGAAAGAAAGGAGGGAAGGGAGGUAAGAGAGAGGGAAAAUGCUACCCUGGAACUCAGAGAUCUGCUUGCCUGGGAUUAAACACAUGAACCACCCUGCCUGGGACGAAGCUUUGCAUGGCCACUAUUCCUCAAGAUCCUCAUCAAAAGCCUGUGUCUUCCAGCCUCGAGAUCUGGAUCCAUAGUUGUGCCCUCCAUUUCUGGAUUUUAGUUCAUUCCAGAUUAAAAGUCCAAAUGAAAACAAUAACCAGGUAAUAGUAACACCUAUGUAUAACCCUACCCAAGGACAUUUGACUGGGGUGGAGAUGAGAGCAGAGCGAGUGGGAUCUCUGUAAGAGAAACUGUGUCCCUGCAAUCCACACUAAAGUCAGAGCAGUGGAACUCAUGCUUCCCCAGCCCUCAUCCCACAACCAGUCCUGAUCCCAUCUGGCCACAGAACUCUUCAAAUGUCCCCAAGAAAGCCCAGAGAAGCCACAGUCUGAACUUUGUGUGUUCACUCUGCUAUCUUAUCUGUGUCACUUAGCACCUUCUAGAAAAUAAGGGUCUGUUGGGGCUUGGGGUUUGUGUACAACGAUGAGUUGUCAUGAAUGUUGUUUAUAGGAACAUGGGCAGCUUGCCAGUGAAGAAAACGUCCCUUCUUCUCACAACAACCAUUAACUUCUGA